rnacentral:lncRNA from 1 species
NNNGCGGGACUCGAUCCCAGGACCCUGAGAUCAUGACCUGAGCCGAAGGCAGCGGCUUAACCCACUGAGCCACCCAUGCACCCGGGAAUUCCAUUUUAGUAGCCACCCCUCCAACACUCUUUCCUGCCUUGCUGUUCUCUCCAACUCCACGCUCAGACACCCAACACCCUGGCUUCCUUCCGAGUUUACAGCCAAACUCGCCAGACGACGUUUCCUGCGUCUGCUUCAACCUAUAAACAGUAUCUGCCAACCACGUGCCAGGUACUUGUUUACACAUAAUUCCAUCGUCAUCCCUCAACACCCCCGACAAAAAACCCUCGAAGGUGGGCGCUACCACCCUCUCCUUACGGAUAUAUUAAAUAAGGCAGGUAGAAGGAAGGAGAAAAAGGUAGGAAAAAACCUCGUAGGGGAAGAAAACUUAAUGAUUCUAAGUCGACUGGCACACAACAUGGCACGGAAAAAAAUCUAUACACUUCAUACCAGUUCUCCAUUAAAGGAUUUGUCCAGGAAGACCAUCCUCGCCCCCAGGCCCUGUGGGACAGCUUGGGCUGGCGGGGCACACAGGAUCCUCUCCCAAAAGCCGGUUCGCAUUCCGGGGCCCGGUCCCGCUCGGAACCCCGACGCCACGCGCCCAAUUGAGCCGACCCGGCCGUCCUGCGGAACCCGGGCCGCGCGGACGGGGUG